rnacentral:tRNA from 1 species
GGUGAGAUGGCUGAGCGGUCUAAAGCGAUAGACUAGAACCAUUGGUUGUAAUCUAUUCUCUUCGGAGGCGUAGGUUCAAAUCCUGCUCUCAUCG